UACGGAGGGGACUAGCGUUGUUCGGAAUUACUGGGCGUAAAGCGCACGUAGGCGGCUUUGUAAGUCAGGGGUGAAAUCCCGGGGCUCAACCUCGGAACUGCCUUUGAUACUGCAAAUCUUGAGUCCGGAAGAGGUGAGUGGAAUUCCUAGUGUAGAGGUGAAAUGCGUAGAUAUUAGGAAGAACACCAGUGGCGAAGGCGGCUCGCUGGUCCGGUACUGACGCUGAGGUGCGAAAGCGUGGGGAGCAAACAGG
rnacentral:rRNA from 1 species